rnacentral:ncRNA from 1 species
UAUCUGGUUGAUCCUGCCAGUAGUCAUAUGCUUGUCUCAAAGAUUAAGCCAUGCAUGUCUAAGUACAAACCUUAAUACGGUGAAACCGCGAAUGGCUCAUUAAAUCAGCUAUGGUUCCUUAGAUCGUCUCAUCCUACUCGGAUAACUGUGGAAAAUCUAGAGCUAAUACGUGCUUACAAGCCCUGACCUCACGGGAGGGCGCAUUUAUUAGAUCAAAACCAAUCGGGGCUUGCCCCGUCUGCUUGGUGACUCUGGAUAACUUUUGUGCUGAUCGCAUGGCCUCUGCGCUGGCGACGUAUCUUUCAAGUGUCUGCCCUAUCAACUUACGAUGGUAGGUGAUAUGCCUACCAUGGUUAUAACGGGUAACGGGGAAUCAGGGUUCGAUUCCGGAGAGGGAGCCUGAGAAACGGCUACCACAUCUAAGGAAGGCAGCAGGCGCGCAAAUUACCCACUCCCGGCACGGGGAGGUAGUGACGAAAAAUAACGAUACGGGACUCUUUUGAGGCCCCGUAAUUGGAAUGAGUACACUUUAAAUCCGUUAACAAGUAUCUAUUGGAGGGCAAGUCUGGUGCCAGCAGCCGCGGUAAUUCCAGCUCCAAUAGCGUAUAUUAAUGUUGCUGCAGUUAAAAAGCUCGUAGUUGGAUCUGAGGACUCGAAUUGGUGGUGCACCAUACGGUGUUACUGCCGAUUCGGCCUACCUAGUCGGUGCUCGCUCUUGGUGUUCUUAAUUGAAUGCCCUGAGUGCCCGGCAAGUUUACUUUGAAAAAA